UACGUAGGGGGCUAGCGUUGCUCGGAAUCACUGGGCGUAAAGCGCACGUAGGCGGCUUUCUAAGUCAGGGGUGAAAUCCUGGAGCUCAACUCCAGAACUGCCUUUGAUACUGGAGAGCUUGAGUCCGGAAGAGGUGAGUGGAACUCCGAGUGUAGAGGUGAAAUUCGUAGAUAUUCGGAAGAACACCAGUGGCGAAGGCGGCUCACUGGUCCGGUACUGACGCUGAGGUGCGAAAGCGUGGGGAGCAAACAGG
rnacentral:rRNA from 1 species